rnacentral:rRNA from 1 species
UGACGAGUGGCGGACGGGUGAGUAAUGCUUGGGAACUUGCCUUUGCGAGGGGGAUAACAGUUGGAAACGACUGCUAAUACCGCAUAAUGUCUUCGGACCAAACGGGGCUUCGGCUCCGGCGCAAAGAGAGGCCCAAGUGAGAUUAGCUAGUUGGUAAGGUAACGGCUUACCAAGGCGACGAUCUCUAGCUGUUCUGAGAGGAAGAUCAGCCACACUGGGACUGAGACACGGCCCAGACUCCUACGGGAGGCAGCAGUGGGGAAUAUUGCACAAUGGGGGAAACCCUGAUGCAGCCAUGCCGCGUGUGUGAAGAAGGCCUUCGGGUUGUAAAGCACUUUCAGUUGUGAGGAAAAGUUAGUAGUUAAUACCUGCUAGCCGUGACGUUAACAACAGAAGAAGCACCGGCUAACUCCGUGCCAGCAGCCGCGGUAAUACGGAGGGUGCGAGCGUUAAUCGGAAUUACUGGGCGUAAAGCGCACGCAGGCGGUUUGUUAAGCUAGAUGUGAAAGCCCCGGGCUCAACCUGGGAUGGUCAUUUAGAACUGGCAGACUAGAGUCUUGGAGAGGGGAGUGGAAUUCCAGGUGUAGCGGUGAAAUGCGUAGAUAUCUGGAGGAACAUCAGUGGCGAAGGCGACUCCCUGGCCAAAGACUGACGCUCAUGUGCGAAAGUGUGGGUAGCGAACAGGAUUAGAUACCCUGGUAGUCCACACCGUAAACGCUGUCUACUAGCUGUGUGUGUCUUUAAGGCGUGCGUAGCGAAGCUAACGCGCUAAGUAGACCGCCUGGGGAGUACGGCCGCAAGGUUAAAACUCAAAUGAAUUGACGGGGGGCCCGCACAAGCGGUGGAGCAUGUGGUUUAAUUCGAUGCAACGCGAAGAA